rnacentral:rRNA from 1 species
UGCCAGACUCCUACGGGAGGCAGCAGUGAGGAAUAUUGGUCAAUGGGCGAGAGCCUGAACCAGCCAAGUCGCGUGAGGGACGACGGCCCUACGGGUUGUAAACCUCUUUUGCCGGGGGACAAACGGCGGCACGCGUGCCGUCCUGAGGGUACCCGGAGAAAAAGCAUCGGCUAACUCCGUGCCAGCAGCCGCGGUAAUACGGAGGAUGCGAGCGUUAUCCGGAUUUAUUGGGUUUAAAGGGUGCGUAGGCGGAACAUUAAGUCAGCGGUAAAAUCGAGGGGCUCAACCCCUUUAAGCCGUUGAAACUGGUGAUCUUGAGUGGGCGAGAAGUAUGCGGAAUGCGUGGUGUAGCGGUGAAAUGCAUAGAUAUCACGCAGAACUCCGAUUGCGAAGGCAGCAUACCGGCGCCCGACUGACGCUGAGGCACGAAAGCGUGGGGAUCGAACAGGAUUAGAUACCCUCGUA